AAUCAACGCUGGCGGCGCGCUUAACACAUGCAAGUCGCACGAGAAAGUGGAGCAAUCCAUGAGUAAAGUGGCGUACGGGUGAGUAACACGUGGAUCAUCUACCUCUUGGUGGGGAAUAACCUUGGGAAACCGGGGCUAAUACCGCAUAAGCCUGGAAAGGGAAAGCAGCAAUGCGCCGAGAGAGGAGUCCGCGGCCGAUUAGCUAGUUGGUAGGGUAAUGGCCUACCAAGGCAAUGAUCGGUAGCCGGCCUGAGAGGGCACACGGCCACACUGGCACUGAAACACGGGCCAGACUCCUACGGGAGGCAGCAGUGGGGAAUCUUGCACAAUGGGGGAAACCCUGAUGCAGCGACGCCGCGUGAGCGAUGAAGCCCUUCGGGGUGU
rnacentral:rRNA from 1 species